rnacentral:rRNA from 1 species
GACGAACGCUGGCGGCGUGCCUAACACAUGCAAGUCGAGCGAUGAAGUUUCCUUCGGGAAACGGAUUAGCGGCGGACGGGUGAGUAACACGUGGGUAACCUGCCUCAUAGAGGGGAAUAGCCUCCCGAAAGGGAGAUUAAUACCGCAUAAUAUUACAGUUUUGCAUGAAACAGUAAUUAAAGGAGCAAUCCGCUAUGAGAUGGACCCGCGGCGCAUUAGCUAGUUGGUGAGGUAACGGCUCACCAAGGCGACGAUGCGUAGCCGACCUGAGAGGGUGAUCGGCCACAUUGGGACUGAGACACGGCCCAGACUCCUACGGGAGGCAGCAGUGGGGAAUAUUGCACAAUGGGGGAAACCCUGAUGCAGCAACGCCGCGUGAGUGACGACGGUCUUCGGAUUGUAAAGCUCUGUCUUUGGGGACGAUAAUGACGGUACCCAAGGAGGAAGCCACGGCUAACUACGUGCCAGCCGCCGCAGUAACAC